rnacentral:rRNA from 1 species
UCCCAAACCCCUGUGAACAUACCAAUUGUUGCCUCGGCGGAUCAGCCCGCUCCCGGUAAAACGGGACGGCCCGCCAGAGGACCCCUAAACUCUGUUUCUAUAUGUAACUUCUGAGUAAAACCAUAAAUAAAUCAAAACUUUCAACAACGGAUCUCUUGGUUCUGGCAUCGAUGAAGAACGCAGCAAAAUGCGAUAAGUAAUGUGAAUUGCAGAAUUCAGUGAAUCAUCGAAUCUUUGAACGCACAUUGCGCCCGCCAGUAUUCUGGCGGGCAUGCCUGUUCGAGCGUCAUUUCAACCCUCAAGCCCCCGGGUUUGGUGUUGGGGAUCCCCCCACCCUUGCGGCAAUUUUCCUUGCCUUAUAGUGGCAGAAUCCAACUAAUUCCAUGGGCAUUAGGACCCCCGAGAACUUUUUCUGGGAAUUCCUAAAUUCACAAGGUUCAAUCUGAAAUUUGUGCGGUGUAAGGAGUUCCAAAACCCGGCGUUUUAAUUAUAGAAUCUU